rnacentral:rRNA from 1 species
UACGUAGGGUGCGAGCGUUGUCCGGAAUUAUUGGGCGUAAAGAGCUCGUAGGCGGUUUGUCGCGUCGGCCGUGAAAUCUCCACGCUUAACGUGGAGCGUGCGGUCGAUACGGGCAGACUUGAGUUCGGUAGGGGAGACUGGAAUUCCUGGUGUAGCGGUGAAAUGCGCAGAUAUCAGGAGGAACACCGGUGGCGAAGGCGGGUCUCUGGGCAGUAACUGACGCUGAGGAGCGAAAGCGUGGGGAGCGAACAGG